GCUGAGGAAAGGUCUGUACUCAGUGAAGGUGAAAAAAGCCCUCAGCUGCGUGCGGAUGGAAGUAAGGCACCUUGAUCAGCAUCAAUGAAAAAAGGAGAUAAGGAAUUGUUCCUCGGGCAGCGCUGCUAUGUUCUGGGUCAUUGGUUCAGAAACUUCAGUGUGCAUCAGAAUCCUCUGGAUAUGCCAUUUUCAUGACCUUGAGGGCCAGAGAGGGGAUGGAAACAAGUGAUAUCCGCCAAAUCUUCUCAGAGAUGAAGUCUUUUUAUGCAGUCCAUGUUGGAGUGCAGUGGCUAUUCACUGGUGUGAUCAUCACAGACUUGAACUCUUGGGCUCAAGUGAGUUUCCCUUCUUAGCUGCUGGGACUACAGGUGUGUGCCCUAGUGACUGGCUUGCUCUUUUUAUGUACUGCUAAAUUUGGUUCACUAAAAGUUUUUAAAGAAUCGUUUUUUUAACUUCUAUUUUUAUGAAGCAUAUUAGUGUAGUGUCUUUUGUGAUAUCUUUACCUAAUUUUGGUGCCAGGACAAUGCUGUCUCACAAAGUGAGUUGACAAGGAGUCCCUUGUCUUCUAUUUUUUGGAAAAGUUUGUAUAAUGUUGACUUUUUUUCAUCCUUCAAUAUUUGAUAGAGUUUGCCAAUGAAACCAUCUAAGUCUGGGAGCUUUUUGGUGAAAGGUUUUGCAACAUGAAUUACAUUUCUUUAAUAGAUAUAAGACUCUUCAGAUUAUCUAUCUUUUUAUUGGCAAACUUAGAAUAGUUUAUAUUUUUCAAGGAACUUUUCUAUUACUCUUUAAGAAAUGAAAUGGAUCAACAUAAAGUUGCUUAUGAUAUCCCUUUAUUAGCUUUUCAAUAUUUGUAGGAUCUAGUGAUCUCCCUUCUUUCAUUUUUGAUACAGAUCAUCUAAACAUUUUUCAUUUUGUUGAUCAUUUCAUCUAGAGUUUAUCAAUUUUAUUGAGCUUGUUGGAAAACUAGCUUUUGGUUUUAUUGAUUUUUUUUCCUAUUGCCUUUCAGUUUUACUUUACUAUUUCUUCCCUUGCAUUUUCUUUGGGUUAAAUUUGCUCUUCUUUUUCCAGUUCCUUAGAGUGGAAGUGAAAAUAAUUUCAUUUCUUUUUCCACACAUAAAAGUUUAAUGCUAUAAAUUUUACACUAAGUUUUGCUUUGUUUGCACCCCGGAGUGUUUCAUGUGCUCUGUUUUUUAUUUCAUUUAAUUUGAACUGUUUUCUAAUUUCUCUUAUGUUUUCUUUGACCUAAGGAUUGUUCAGAUUUGUAUUUUUCAGUCACUGGAUUACUCACCCAAGGUCUCCCGCAGGAUCCUUGCUCUGUGACCCUGAGUGCAGAGCUUGCCGGGGCAGUUCUCCCACAAUGGCUCCAUGUGGUCCACAACCCAAUAGUAUUAGCUCUGUCGGGCUCAGUGGCGCAGUCCCGGGCCUUAGACAAGGCUUAAAGUCCUCUGUACUCUCUCUCAAGCUCUCCCAAGGUAGUUCAACUGAGUGCCAAGUCCAAAAAGGACUCACAGGUAAGGCCUUUCCAGUUUGCAAGCUCAUUGCUGCUGUAUUUAUAGUUGCGGGCAGUAUUAGGCCAAAGGAACACACUCAACCACUUGCCAGUUCUCCACUGCUUUUGUCCUCCUCAUGGGAUCCAGAAGUCUCUCACUGACUCCCUGUAUCCUCAAAGGGAUGUUUCUGGGCAGAUCCUACCAGCCAGCCAGAGAUUCCUGAAGACUUCUCUCUCCAGUCUCACUGUGCCCAGUUGCAAGGAAGCUGUUACUCGGCCGCCAUCUUGCUCCUCCUCCAGAUUUGUAUUUUUAGAAGUUUACUUACUUAGGUGUUUAUAAAGGUCUUUCUGUUAUUGACUCCUAGUUUUAUGUUAUUGUGUCAGAGGAUAGACUGAACAAUUUUAAUCUUUUGAAAUAUAUUGAGAAUUAUAUUUUAGUUCAGAAUAUAGUCUAUUUUGGUGAAUGUUUCACGAGCAUUUGAAAACAAUGUAUAAUUGCUAUUGUGGGUUGGAGAGUUCUAAAAUCUCGAUUUGGUCAAUUUGGCAGACAGCAUUGUUUAAGUCUUUCUAUAGUUUCAUUCAUUUCCUGUUUCCUUAUCCUGUGAGUUACUAAUAGACUAGUAUUGUAAUUGCCAGGUGUAAUUGUUGGUUAAGAUAAUUUUAGUUUUAUUGGUUUUUACUUCAUUUAUUUUGAUGUGCCUUAUUGGAUGUCAUCAGAUCUGUAUGAAUUCAAGAUUUUUAUCUUUAGAUUAACAGACCCUGAUAUCAUUAUAAAAUACCCUCUUUAUGCAUAUCUUGCUUUUAAUUGUUUUUUCCAUGGUCUUAUUUUUAUUUUUAUCUAUUUACUUUUAAUAUCUCUCUCUCUCUCUCUCCAAGAUUUCUCUCUAUUGCCCUCAGAUACUGCUGGAGUCCAGAAGUACCAACACAAAUCACUAUAACUUCAAACUCCUCUGCUUAAGUGAUCCCCACACGGCAGCUUCCAGAGAAGUUAGGAUUAUAGGAAAAUUUCCCCACAUCUGGCUAAUUUUUAAGUGUUUUUAUAGAGAUGGGAUCUCACUAUGUUGCCCAGGCUGGUCUUGAACUACUGGACUCAAGUGAUUCUCUUUCCUCAGUUUCCCAAAGCACUGGGAUUGCAGGUGUGAACAACUGUGCCUGGCUUGAGUUUCUUUCUGAUAUUGUAUUAAAAACUUUGUAUUUUCCAAAUAGAACAAUCUGCCUUCUGAUAGGAAUAUUAGGUCAUUUACAUUUACAUUGUUGAUAUGAUCAGGUUGUAUUAUGAAAUUGUCCUACUUUUGCUAGUGUGCAUGCAAGUGCCUUCCACUUCUGGGUGAAGUCCAGGAACUGUUCUGCCAGCUUCCUUCUGGUGUUUUACCCCCAGCCUCAUGGAGUUGCCCUCUAUGCAUUCACAGACCAGCCAAAGAUUUGAUUAGAGUUUUCUGUAGAUGUUCUGGCUGACCCUUCUCCCUCUCCCCACAUCUCAGUCCCCUUAAUUUCUUUUACUCUGGUAUUCUGCUUCACAGAUUCUAGCUGACAUUGUCUCCUAAACUCUGAUCUACGUCUGUUCACCCAGUAAGAAUGCUGGAUUCUGUGUGUGAUUUCCUCUUUGCCCUGUGGACUGGAAACUGCCUGUAAGCUGUGAAUGAAUAUGCCUGUGGAAUGCAUCUGAUUUGCCUCCCUUUUCUCAGUGACCAUAGUCCUGUACUGGUUGUUGUCUGAUGCCUACAGGAAGUCAUUUUAUAGUCUGGGUUUCUAGUUGUUUUUGGUAGAAUGGAAAUUACUGUAACAGCUUUCUGUAUGAAGUAUGUCUUUUUAUUCUCAUGCUUUCACAUCUGGAGACUUGCUGAUGCUGAAGGGACUAUCUCUUCCAGAGCUAGCCAAUUCCUAGAGAUGAAAAAACAAAACACCAGCCAGGCACAGUUGUUCACACCUAAGAGCAUCCCUUUCAUAUGCAAACCCACUGAUCCAGAGCCCAUAUCCAAAAGACCUCUUUCACGGAGCCCUUAUACUAGGCCAGUAUUUGCUCUAAUUACUCCAGGACCAGGCACUGGAAAACUAGAGAUAGUCCCUAUACCACAUAGCCCAAUAAAAUUCCUCAAGCUGACCAGUCCUGAACUGGGUUACUCUGACAUAUUUUCUUUCCAUUCCUGUCUUCUCACCAACCCUGGUGCUUCCUCCUGUAACCCCUUGUAUGGCACUUGCCUACUGCUCUUGGGAAUUGUAACAUACUACAGCUAUCUUUUUAACAACAAUCCUCUUCUUAUUUCUUGGCCUCCUUAUACUUGAAUAAUAAUAAAACCUACAUUUUCAAAUACUUUCAUGCUUACAAGCAGAAGUUUGGUACAUUUUUCCUUAAAUAAAAUAAUGUCUUUAAGCAUCUGGUACAUAACAAUCAUUGGACAAACACACAUCCCUUGACUUGAUCUCAGUAUUUUAGCAUUUUGUCUAGACAAUAUAUUCAGUUUGCUUUCCUUCCUUCUUUCCUUCCUUCCUUCCUUCCUUCCUUCCUUCCUUCCUUCCUCCCUCCGUCCCUCCCUCCCCCCUUCUCCUCCUCCUUCACUUCUUCCUCCUUCUUCUUCCUUCUCCUCUCUCUCCUCUCUCUCUCUUUCUCUCUCCCUCCCUCCUGCCUUCCCUCUUCUCUUUCAUCUUUCUUUUUUUUCAGAGACAGAGUCUUGGUCUGUUGCCCAGACCAGAGUCCAGUGGUACCACAGCUCAGUGCAACUUCAAAUUCCUAGACUGAAGUGAUCCUCCCAUCUUGGCCUCCCCAAAUGCUGAGAUUACACCAAUGAUCCACUGCCUCCCAGCCAAAUUUCAUUUUUGUUUUUAAUUUAAUGUUUCAACUCCUCAUCUGCCACCACCACUGCUCCUAUCAUACUCAACUUGAAAUCUUCAUCUUGCUAUUCAAAUUUUGGGUUUUACUCCUUUGAAAUCUUCUUUUGUAUUUAAAUCCAUCCCACUAGUCUAUGAAAUAUUGAAAUGGGAACAGGGUUACUGGUUAAGCAUUUAAACUUUUUCUUUUCUUUUUGCAAAAUUUGUACAAUACUUCUUUCCAAUCUCUUCAUGGAACUUUCAGCUGAUAUCAACUUUUUCUUAUUUCUUUCCUAUUUCAUUCCCUCAAUGGACAGUAGAAAUUUCCUCCAAUUUUUAGCUUUACUAUAUUUAAUGAAGAUGUCAAACUUCUGAAUAGCAUUUCCUUUCAGACUUUGGGGGUGGUGUAUACAUUUAAAUAUCUGAUAAUUUCCCAUCCUGAAUUUCUCCUAGACUGACUUCCUAUAUAUUCUAUAUCUUUCAAAAAUGUAAUGAUAAAUGUAUAAGGACAAAUGUUAAAAUUGAUGUGAUACCUUAAUCUUUAUUUUGUUUUACUUGGUUAUUAUAAGGAAAGUUUGAAUUUAGCAUAUUACUCUUUAGACAUCCAACCAACCUAACAACUGAGGUGUUCUUCUCUCAUUACUUGGGUAAUCUGUAAUAAAAUCUAGAAUUUACAGUAAUUUUUAAGAUGCUAAAAAUAGUAUUAAACUAACUAAGUUAAUUUGACAUGAAAGUAAAUGCCAGCUCUGAGGAUGACAAUUCCAUCAGUCAGAGCCGCCACACUGGUCAAUUUUGACUAGAUUUGUACAGAUUGCAUGCCUUUCCAUGUAGAGUCAAAGAAAUUUAGGGUACAUACAACCAAAAAAAUAUUUUUGUAUUGAAAUUUUACACAUAUUUCUUACUGGUUCUUAACUGAAGGGCUCAAUUUAUUUGGCAAAUCCCUAUUCACUAAUUUGUGGUAGCAGAAUGGUUCUGAUUGACAGGCACAAGAUUGCAAAGUAGAAACUAGGACACGGGUAGUUUUCUUAGUUUUUCUUCAGUGAAGAGAUUCUACAGUACGAAUGACAGAUAUUUGGAUCUUUAGGGAAUAAUGAAGGAAGCUGAAAGAUAUCAUUAUCACAGAAUGGAUUUUGUGUCAUUUUUGGUUCUCACUACCAAGGAAAAUGUGAAAAUGCGGUUUGCUAACUUUAGUACUUCAUAGCCUAAGACAGUCUAUGCUUUAAGCCCCAGAGAAUUUUCUUUUUGUACAAUUUCACAGAUUCUGAAGCCUAAGUGAUCAUUAGGGGAAAACUACAGUUUUAUUUCUCUGCCCUAUUAUACCAAAUUCUUAGGGAAAAUGCCACUGACACACACUGUGACAAGUCCCUGAGUCCAGAACACAAUUUAAAUUUUAUAAAAUCAAUUUUAUGUUGUAGCUGUUGAUAUAUCUUGACAAUCUUUGAUUGAUAUGUCAUUUUUUAAAUCCACGUUGCCUAAAAAUCAGCCUGCUUUAAAAUUGAUAGCUAUAUCUCCAUCACUUUUAUGUGGUAUGAGUGAAUUUGAAAAAGAAGGUGUUUCUUUUUUUUUAGUCAGCACAUGACUGUCUUUCCUAGAAACAGUGGUGGGACCAUAAAAUGCUUUUUCCUUCAGGGAUAUAUAAAACCCUUCCCAUGCCCACAUGUCUCAAUUGCAUGCUAUUCACUACACAUGUGAAGUAACCUUUGGGUAUUUUGUUAAAGGAUAGAUUCCAGGAAAAAUAAAGUUUACAUUCUGUUUUUAGAAUCCAGAGGGUCUACAUCAGUGAUGAGCAACGUAAGAUCCACCUAACAAAUUUUAAUUGCAACCUUUACCCUCACACAAGGCAUCUCCAUUCAGAAAAAUAUAAUAACAACCUGCAGAAAUUGAUUUUGGGAUUUUUUUUGUCCAAAGUCUGUGGGUUGGACAGGAUCAUCAUGUGAACGAAUCAACCCCCCGCCAAGUCCUAUUUUAGUUUGAGGAUUCAAAUCAAGCACAGAGCAAAACAUUUGGGGACUCUGUAUCUAUAUAGGAAUGAUGUGACCCUUCAUGAUGGCUUGGGUUUAGAACUGCUUUCUCCCAGCAUGGCAAAGCCAAGAGAAAUCCUACAGACACAAGAGGAAACUCAAGAAGGGGAAAACCCAGGGUACACAUUUAUCUUUGUGCCUUUUACAGUGUCUGGCACAGAGUAAGUAUUCAGUUGUGUCAAAUGGAAUGAACUAAUUCAACCCACCUCUGCUGUUACUGGCAUUACACCAAGUUUAGAUAACCCACUUUAGCAUAUGUAAAAUGGAAAUGACAAUACUUCUUACCUUCAAGGGAUAUUUUGAGGCAUUAAUGAUACAAUGCAUUUGUAAGACUGUAUCUUUCCUAUGAGACUCAAUUAGAAUACAUUUAUGUUACAAAAAAAGUAUUUGAGCUUGAAAAUUUAAUUUUUCCUGAAUUUGGCUAUUAUAUAAAGAAAAUUUUGAAGUACUGAUGAUCUAAUUUCCAGAAAGUGCCAUCCCUAAGGAUGUUCCCUUGUAUUACCCUUUAUUUUUUUUACAUAGUUGAGUUUACGUAGGUAGGCUCAUUUGCGCACCCAGUAACCUUGUGACAUAAAGCUGAGGUGUCUUCAUUUCCAAAAGAUACAGUGACUAAGUGAUCUGUUUUUUAGAUUGCCCUGAGAAAGAAAUGGUUACAGGCUGUGAACUUGUCAGAUCUCUUAAGCCCCUUUGCUUUGGCAGCUACCUUGUAUCUAGGAGAGGAUGACCCUCAUGGGAGUAGAAAAAGAAUAGUGGUUUUUAGAGUUGCUCAUAGCUGAAAAUAUCCCUGCUCUCCAAGUGUGACAGACCAGAGGCAUGUUUUUGAGCAGCCAGGAGCAAGCCCAGAGCUCACCCUUAGUGAUACUUAGUAUUUGUCAUCUUUGAGGCACAUCUCACAUCUCUGUCUGAUCUAGCCUCCUUUCUGUACCUGGAGUGUAGUAUUUCUACAACUCAUACCUGGAUUGGUGCCCACCUCCUUCCCCAUCCUACCUCCCCCAAGACUUAAAGUUUCUCACUUUCCUGUUGUCCUCAUAAUGUUCAAAAUUUUUGGCUUAGUAAAAAUCACUUUUUCUAACAAUUACCCUAUCCACAACCCAGUAUACACAACCACACACCAGUUUUUGCUCUAGAACACUGAACUACUUUCAUUUUCAGGAAAGCUUCUUUGUACACUCAAACUCACAUAUUCAUGCACACACUCACCUGUCCCUGUUCCUUAUAACUCCUACUCAUCCUAUAGUUCAGCUUAUAUAUAAUUUCCCAUAGGAAGCUUUCCCCAGUUGGCUAGAACUAAAGUAGGUACCCUUCUAUAUAUUUACUAUGCACACAACAUCUAUCAUAACUUAUAACAGCUCAUCCUACUGUAUAGAAUGUAUCAGUUUAUUUGCCAUCUUCCUUCUAGAAUAUAAUUUCUCAGAGGACAGGGACUACGUCUUAUAUACUAUUGAAUCCCAGAAACUUAGCACUAUCCCUGGUUUGUUAUAAAUGCUUGGUUUGUAUUGAAUAAUGGCUGGAUGGCUAAAUGCAUCCUUCACAGUAAAUGAUAUCCUUAGGAAAUUGUGGAUCUGUGCCUAUAUGUUAGCAAAACAAGGAGUUGAUUUUGAAUAACUUUGUAACACUAUAUAGGUUGCACAGGAAUUAUAAUGAUGCCCCAUUUUUUAAAUAAUUUCAGGUAUUGGCACUACACAUUAUUCUGAAUCUUUAUAGCUAAGCAUUCCACAGAUACGUUCCAACUCUAUAAAUGUCAAACAAUGGUGAUCACACCAUGCUGAGGCCCAUGAAGUUCACUUGCCAAGUAUUUUAAUCAAAUCAGGAACAGUAAGUGUGGAGUAAGAAAUUAGCCUGUAGUGUUGCAAAACUGGAUUAAAUAUGAAUGUUUAAUGAGAGCUGUUUUUUUCCCAUCUCUAUUCCUUUUUUUAAUGAAAUUAAAGACUAUCAGUAAUAUCAGCUAAAACUCUAGAAUUUUAGAGCUACGUCACUGCUUUAGAUUAAAAUACUUUGUGUCGAAACCAGUUCUUUCUCAUCACUUAGGGAGUAAUCAAAUUCUGAUAAAUAUAUUUUCUAAGAAAAGUUUAUGACCAACACUUCAAUAUGUUUGAAGCAGGAAAAAUAUAUUAACAACAACAACAAUAACAAAAAGCAUGAAAUGACACGUGUUGGAGUUGACAUUGACAAAAAUGAAAGAACAGGGAGGUGCCUAUGGCUCAAGGAGUAGGGCGUGGGCCCCAUAUACGGGGGGUGGUGGGUUUGAACCCAGCCCUGGCCAAAACUGCAAAAAAAAAAAAAAAAAAAAGAGAGAGAGAGAGAACAUAGUUCUUUACUGACGUUGUUUGACUACAAUGACCUGUAUUGCGUUAAGAGUGUUUUCAUUAACUUCUCAAGAAAAUGAUGGAUUUACAGUGAGUCAUUCACGGUAGCACACACAAAAAUUUAUUGAGAGCUAAACAGGGGUAUAUUCCUUGAAAUCACCAACAUAAGGCAAAUAAUAUAUUUGCUGAUUUUAUUUAGUGGCAAAGUCAGAUUUGGGUUUUGAAUAGUGAAGAAAAUAAUUGUGGAAAUUUGGCUCAAUCUUCAAUUUGCAGGAAAGGGUCUGAGCAUUAUUGCUAUUGCCAUGAAGGAGCUCAGGAAGUUGUACCCCAAAAUAUGACUCCUUGGUAUGAAGAGUAUUUUGAAUUAAAGGCCCUUAGAGAUCAACAAGCAUUGGAAGAGGCUUUCCUUCCUUCUACAUUAAAAAAAAAAAAAAAAACCUAUUCAAAAGAACAAUUUACUUCCAUUCUCUUCCACGUUACCUCAAUAAAUUACAAAGAAAAAGAUCAAGAACACAACCAGACUCGGGCCAGAUUAUUUUAUUUUUUAUAUUUUUUAAUUUUUAAGUCAUUUGUACAUAGAUCAUAAAUACAUUUAUGCCAUUAUGGGAUUCGAUGUAUUGAUUAUUUGUACUAAUUGGAGUGCUUACAUUCUACUAAUCAACAUAACUUUCUCCUCAUUUACCCAAUUAGAGCAUUAAGACAUUUGUGUUCUACACCUGAUAGCUCCAAAUUCUCAGGUUACUUUAAUUUCCAAAAGAAUCAUUUACGAAUCAAUGUGUUUUCCUCUCAUCCAUUUAUUCUCCUAAGUAUCUAUUCAUUCUCUCUAGUAACCACUUACUGCCUCUUAGCAGAAUUACUUAUAUUCCUCAUCCCCCAUCCCCUCCAAAAUGAGGGCACAUAAGCUUUUAGACCCCACCGGGAUAUUUAGUAAACACUCUGUGAUUCUCCCCAAGAACACAGUAAAUAAAUCUCUCUUAUUAAUCUGCCUUGUUAUGAGUUGAUCAUUCCAUGAACCUUCUGGGGCAAAGAGGAAGUUUCCCUUCUCUCUCAUAGUAGACAUAGCCAGAGACCUUUCCUUUGGGCAUAUUCCCUACAUUCAAGUAAGUUCCUAUAAAGUUAGACGUCCACUAGUAGAUCCUUUAAUAGGAAGAGCUAGAGCACUUUGGUUGCAGGGAAAGUUGCCUGCUCGGUAAUUUCCUGCUAUUAUCUUCACUAUAAUGUUUCUUAACUACCUAUUUGCUCUUAAUGACCUACUUAUGAAUAUAGUAACCCCAGAGAAUGGCCAAGGGAUAUAAAAAAAUCCCCUGGAUAUUGUAUUUUAAAAUGACCACUGACCCAGGAGAUGGAUUUGAGGUUAUUUUUCAAAAGCAUUGUCUCUAGACUGAUGAAUAAAGGACGAGAACCGUGAUGGUCACAAACCACUGAUGCACGUGGAAGGUGGCUCGCCAAGAAUUUGAAGAGAGUCAAGAAUCCAGCAAGUCUAAUCUCUGGAAAUUUAGAAGGAUUACAGAAGGAAAUGCAAAGUUAAAUCAAGAAGCUUAUUUUUUCCCUAAUCCCUAAACUUUAUUGUGCCUACAUUGGUAUAUCAAACAUAACAUGCUUAGCAGUUAGGCCACACAGCUGGUGACAUCUUUUUUCAAGUAAUUAAACUGGUUUUUUUGUUUUGUUUUGUUUUUAUUUUAAUGCCAUCUGGUAAAGAUUAAGGUCUGAAGGAAUGAUGAAAAGAGUUUGGGCCUGGGUUUAGAGCUAGACUAAGCUCUCAAUUUUGAUACUAAAUGAGUGGACUUAGUCACAAUGUUUUGUUUUUUUUUUCUUUUUUAUAUUUCUUAUCCUCAUCUAUUAAGUAGAAUGAAGUGGGCGCAUACAGCUCUAAAACUAUUUUAUCUUGUCAGUGGUUCAUUGAUUCAAGUAAAAGUGUUCCAAACAUUGGGCCAAUGGCUUUCUGGUUCCCAGAGAAGAUGUGUCGGAUCUCACAUGAUAGGGCGGGUAUGGGCAUGGUGGUCUGAAUCACAUGGCGUGGGCAUAGAUAGAACAUUGUGCUGAAUACGCUCAUCACUAUGUUUUCUGGACAACACAAAAUAAGAUGCCCUGUUCACACUAAUCGAAUAAAUCCAGAUUUGGGGUAAAUCGAAGGCCCUUGAGGGGAUGAAGAAAGCUGAUCCUCAUGGGAUAAACAGACUCCUUUCACAAUUCUGCUCUUCUUAGUACAAGAAUAGAACAUGGGAUUCAACAUCAGUUUGAUGAUUUACUAGAAGAUGGCAAUGGUACUAAUAGCGUCAUUUAUCUUUUUCCUUUUUGCAGUUUUUGGCCAGGGCUGGGCUUGAACCUGUCAACCCUGGGCCAGCGCCUUACUCUUUGAGCCACAGGCACUGCCCAAUAGCGUCAUUUACCAACUUUGAUGCGUCAAAAACUGUGCUAAGUCUUGUUUUUAAUUCAACCUGAAAAGAUGCUUAACCUAAUGAAAACAUGAAAAUGGGGCCCGGAGGAAUUUGGCAACUUGUCCAAGAUCACAGAGCUGAUGAUGCAAUACUGACAAUAAUAUUAUAAGCUUUGUGCUGUUCCUAUACAACGUUUUGCUUGCAUGUGAGGUCAAUUGGGGAGGAUCUGGAAAGGAUAAUGAACAAACAUGACUGCCACACCUAAUGGUGGAACUGAGUGUUUAAUGAGAGAAUUUUAAAGUUUAAUGUUAAGGCUUGUACCACAUAUCUUAGUAGUUAGGGCACCGGCCACAUACACUGGGGCUGGUGGUUCGAAGUCUGCCCAUGUCUGUUAAACAACAAUGGCAACUGCAAUAAAAAAAAAAUAGCCGGGCGUUGUGGCGGAUGCCUGUAGUCCCAGCUACUUGGGAGGCUGAGGCAAGAGAAUCACUUAAGCCCAAGAGUUUGAGGUUGCUGUGAGCUGUGACACCACAGCACUCUACUGAGGGUGACCUAGUGAGAUUGUCCCCCCCACAAAAAAAGUGUUUAGCCUUCACAAUGUGUAACUAUUGCUUUUUUAUAGUUUCAAAACGUUCUCAUCAUUCCAGAAAAAUACCCUGAUCUAUUAAGUAUUCACUUGCUUGUCCUUACUCCCCCAGUCCUCUGGCAACCACUAACGUGAUUUCAGUCUCCAUGGGUUUCCCUAUUCUAGAUACUUUACACAAAAGGAAAUCAUGUGAGAUGUGACCCUUUGUGUCUGUCUUCUUUGACUCAGCAUGUUUCCCAGGUUCACCCAAUACGGUAGCACGUACUUCAUUCCUUUCUAGGGCCAAAUAACACUCCAUUGUAGAGAUACACCACAAUUUGUUUAUUUUUUCAUCUAUCGAUGGACAUUUCUUUUUAGCACUUUAACAAGCCAAAGAUGUGUUUAUUCACUCAAAGAUUCUACUUACAGGCUCUAUGAUUUCCAGUUUCAAUGCAGAUUGGAUUCAUGACAUCUAACGUGCUUUUACCAUUUUAUCCUUCUUAAAAGUUGUAGAACUGAUGUUUCACUUCUACAGUAAGUUUUCCUGUCAUAUAUUUAAUUUAUUUCCAGUAUGACCAUUUUUUACAAUGUCAUUGCCAUGUAGAACCAUUGUUUGACCUUUACUUAUAAAUAUCUCUCAACUGACUUUUUGCUUGUUAUAUUCCACAAUAGAAUCUGUAUAUUUCUGGGUAAAUGCAUCUCUUUUGCUAGGCUAAAAGUGCCCCUCCCCUAGUGUCUACAUUCUACACCCUUAACCCAUGAAUCUACCUUAUGUGGAAAAAGGGACUUUGCAGAUGAGCUAAAUUUGAGAUUCUGAGAUGGAGAGAUUAUCUAAACUGUCUGCGUGGGACUAUGUAAUCACAAGUGCCGUAAGAGAGAGGCAGGAGACCAGAGGGGAUUUCAGGAGAUAUACAUAAAAACAGAACCCACAGGUCAGGAGCCAAGAAACUGCAGGAGAAAAGAAGAUAGAUUCUCUCCUGAAAUCUCCAGAAGAAACUCAGCCCUGUGGACACUUGAGUUCUAGAUUUCUGACCUUUACAACUAUUACAAGAAAAACGAUUUCUGUCACUUUAAGAUACUAAGAUUAUGGUAAUUUGUGGAAGAGCCACAAGAAAUGAAUAUACUCCACUCAAGUAGUUUUAUACCUUUUUAUAUAAUAAACGUUUAUAGCAACCAUAUUUAUUAACAUACAUAUUAUCAAUUGUAUACAUUGACUUGGUGAUACAUGGUGCCGCUCAACAAACCUUCUAAAUAAAAAUAAAGAGCUCAGUGAAGUUUGUCAUAAGGAACAGAACUGAUACUAGCAAAAUUUUGUCUGCUUUGGUAUGAAUAAACCUCUUAACAAUUAGAAAAAGAAAUAGUUUUCAAAUAUGUGGAAACAUAUUAGGGUUUUUGGAUUUCUUAAAGUUUAUAUGU